ACAAUCCAGAGACUCAGCUGUUUUCGGUUGCAGACUGUGGACGAGAGCCAUUUCUCCGCCGCCGACAACUAUUUCGGAUGUUUAGAUGAUCUACGUCCACCUCGAUGAGCUCCCCGAUGCCAAGAUCUGAAAACAAACCAGCGCAGGCUCAAGCCCGUGCAUAUCUGGGUCCUCUGAGGCAUCCAGCAGCAUUUUCUUCACAAGCAGUCCUGAUGGAAAAAAUCAAACACGAGAGGAUACAAAGUCGUGCGGUCCUUCUGCCUCCACGUCUUAAAAGCUGCCCCGAGAAUCCCAUGGAUGAAAAGCACAUCUGCUUUGAUUGGCUGGCUGUAAAAUAAACAUAAUGUCAAAGAUACUGUUUGCCAGAGCGCGGGCUGCGUGAGACGCCUGCAUGACAUGAGGAGACUGCAUCAUCUCAGCCAGGACAGAUACCCAG